rnacentral:rRNA from 1 species
CUACGGGGCGCAGCAGCUAAGAAUCUUCCGCAAUGGGCGAAAGCCUGACAGAGCGACGCCGCGUGGGUGAAGAAGGCCGAGAGGUUGUAAAGCCCUUUUCUGCUUGAGGAAUAAGCAUCGGAGGGAAUGCCGGUGUGAUGACGGUAGGGCAGGAAUAAGCCCCGGCUAAUUACGUGCCAGCAGCCGCGGUAACACGUAUGGGGCGAGCGUUGUUCGGAAUGAUUGGGCGUAAAGGGCGUGUAGGCGGAAAGGCAAGUCUGGUGUGAAAGACCGCAGCUCAACUGCGGGACCGCGCUGGAAACUGCAUAUCUUGAGUUCCGGAGGGGGAGUUGGAAUUCCUGGUGUAGGGGUGAAAUCUGUUGAUAUCAGGAAGAACACCGGUGGCGAAGGCGAACUCCUGGACGAGAACUGACGCUGAGGCGCGAAAGCGUGGGGAGCGAACAGGAUUAGAUACCCCCGUAGUC